GGUCAAGCGACUAAGUGCAUCUGGUGGAUGCCUUGGCGAUCACAGGCGAUGAAGGACGUGCAAGCCUGCGAAAAGCAGCGGGGAGCUGGCAAUGGAGCUUUGAUCCGCUGAUGUCCGAAUGGGGAAACCCCUCCGCAAGGAGAUCCCUGGCUGAACACAUAGGCCAGUGGAGGCGAACCGGGAGAACUGAAACAUCUAAGUACCCCGAGGAAAAGAAAUCAACCGAGAUUCCGUAAGUAGUGGCGAGCGAACGCGGAAGAGCCUGUAUGUGUUAUGGAUUGUGUUAGUGGAACGCUCUGGAAAGUGCGGCCAUAGUGGGUGAUAGCCCCGUACACGAAAACGCAUUCCAAGAACUGAGCAUACGAGAAGUAGGGCGGGACACGCGAAAUCCUGUCUGAAGAUGGGGGGACCAUCCUCCAAGGCUAAAUACUCGU
rnacentral:ncRNA from 1 species